rnacentral:misc_RNA from 1 species
AAGUCGUAACAAGGUUUCCGUAGGUGAACCUGCGGAAGGAUCAUUAACACGUAUCCAAACGUUAAAACCCCCCCCGUGAACCUUCAUCCUGCUCUUGUAACCCGCGUAGUUCGCAAUCUCUGAUAAAUCAUAGCCCGGAAAGUUGUAGUGAUUCAGAGACCUCUGGCUACGUGCGAACAUUGGAACAGUUACAAUCGAGCGGUAGUUCUAUAGGCAAUGUUUCCCCAAGCAGUCAGUGUCGGAAAGUGUCAUUGAUUGUGCAAGGAUAGCGCAGUUUAAUGUGAAGCUCAAUGUAAUACAUUGGGUAGAAAAACCGAACAACUGUUAACAGUGGAUAUCUUGGUUCUC